UGGGGAAUAUUGGACAAUGGGCGCAAGCCUGAUCCAGCCAUGCCGCGUGAGUGAUGAAGGCCCUAGGGUUGUAAAGCUCUUUCACCGGUGAAGAUAAUGACGGUAACCGGAGAAGAAGCCCCGGCUAACUUCGUGCCAGCAGCCGCGGUAAUACGAAGGGGGCUAGCGUUGUUCGGAAUUACUGGGCGUAAAGCGCACGUAGGCGGACAUUUAAGUCAGGGGUGAAAUCCCGGGGCUCAACCCCGGAACUGCCUUUGAUACUGGGUGUCUAGAGUUCGAGAGAGGUGAGUGGAAUUCCGAGUGUAGAGGUGAAAUUCGUAGAUAUUCGGAGGAACACCAGUGGCGAAGGCGGCUCACUGGCUCGAUACUGACGCUGAGGUGCGAAAGCGUGGGGAGCAAAACAGGAUUAGAUACCCCUGGUAGUCCACGCCGUAAACGUGGAAGCCAGCUGUCGGCAAGUUUACUUGUCGGUGGCGCAGCUAACGCAUUAAGCUUCCCGCCUGGGGAGUACGGUCGCAAGAUUAAAAGCUUAAA
rnacentral:rRNA from 1 species